UGGCUUUCUUGGCGGGUGGAACAUCAUCACUAGGAAGGUGAUUUCCCCAGAGUGAGGCUCAACUCCUGCGCUCUGGGUGUGUUGGCUUUUCUGAUUUUGUCAAAUGUAGGAAACUCAGCUGUAUAAUCUGUGGCAAAGGGGGACUGCAUUUAUGCUCUCUCCUA
rfam:Fulmarus glacialis contig21455, whole genome shotgun sequence.